UUUGAAAACCUGAUUUUGAUGCGCCGUAUAUGACAGAUUUUUGUGAAUACUGAGGGCUAUUUUUCUUU
rnacentral:snoRNA from 14 species